rnacentral:rRNA from 1 species
GGGUAGUUUGACUGGGGCGGUCUCCUCCUAAAGAGUAACGGAGGAGUACGAAGGUGCGCUCAGCGUGGUCGGAAAUCACGCGUAGAGUAUAAAGGCAAAAGCGCGCUUAACUGCGAGACCCACAAGUCGAGCAGGUACGAAAGUAGGUCUUAGUGAUCCGGUGGUUCUGUAUGGAAGGGCCAUCGCUCAACGGAUAAAAGGUACUCUGGGGAUAACAGGCUGAUACCGCCCAAGAGUUCAUAUCGACGGCGGUGUUUGGCACCUCGAUGUCGGCUCAUCUCAUCCUGGGGCUGAAGCAGGUCCCAAGGGUAUGGCUGUUCGCCAUUUAAAGAGGUACGCGAGCUGGGUUUAGAACGUCGUGAGACAGUUCGGUCCCUAUCUACCGUGGGCGCUGGAAAUUUGAGAGGAUCUGCUCCUAGUACGAGAGGACCAGAGUGGACGAACCUCUGGUGUACCGGUUGUGACGCCAGUCGCAUCGCCGGGUAGCUAUGUUCGGAAGGGAUAACCGCUGAAAGCAUCUAAGCGGGAAGCCUACCUCAAGAUAAGAUUUCCCUAGGACUUUAUGUCCUCUAAAGAGCCGUUCGAGACUAGGACGUUGAUAGGUUGGAUGUGGAAGCAUAGUGAUAUGUGAAGCUGACCAAUACUAAUUGCUCGUGAGGCUUGACUAU